rnacentral:lncRNA from 1 species
UCAAUUCCGCAUCAUCUCCUUCGUCGUCUUCAUCUCUUCAUUUUCUGAAAAAGAGCCUAAUCCACCAUGGAUAUUGGUGAUUCAGGUCCCCAAACUCUACCAAAAUGAUCCCACGGAACCACUAGAUCACCCUCAUACUGAAUCUAUGAACCACUUCUCCUUACAUCCCUCGAAUCUUGAAUCCAGAAUCAGAAUCUCUAAGACCCAAGUCCAAAUCCAAGCAUGCAAGGUGAUUGCUCCAGUCUUCAUAAGAGUUUAGAGUUGAUUUUUCAUGAAAUAGUGUUCUUUGCUUGUUCUUGACAAAGAACAAGCGGUCGAUAUUUUUUGGCGAUGAAAUCAGAAAGUUAGGAUCGAAGUCAAGUGUUGUAAGGUAAUUUCUUCUUCUUUUCGAAUCAUCCUGAUAUUCCAG